AUGCACUUCCAUAUAAUUUUCUUUUAAUGUUCUAUAGUUAAAAGAUAAAAUAGAAGUGCUACAGUAAUCAGAAAGAUAAUUAGCAAAGCAAGCUACUGUGCUUGACUUUGUCAGUCCCUUUCUUACAGUC
rnacentral:snoRNA from 1 species